rfam:Gossypium arboreum cultivar AKA8401 contig_34623_3, whole genome shotgun sequence.
AUGUCAUUAUGAAUACAUUUUUGCAAUAGCUCCUUGAAUCGCUCCCAUGCAUCAUAGGAAGAUUCUUUCUUAAGUUGCUGAAAUGUUGAGAUUUCAUUUUCGAGCUU